GGGUCUUGGAGAACGCGCUCAAUGGCGGCCGAGCUGCCGCGUGGAGGGUGGGUUCCCGGACGCCGUGAGGCCCAUCAUUCACCCACCACGCGGCGAUGGCGGCCUCGCGACAGCCUGCACCAUACCCUCCGAAGGUGGGACAUGUGGAUAAAGAUGUACACGCAAAGAUACCCUUGAAUUAUAAGCGGCCUCGGUGACCAAAAAUAACCUUGAGUUUAAAGGGAAAGGAUGUGAAUGUCCAUCUAUGAUCACAUAGCAAAAGAACUGGAGUUUGGGACUUUUUUUUUUCCAUUUAUUGUGUGCGCGGGAGCAUGUCAAAGUCAAAUGACAAAAUGCCGGAGCCGAUACUCCUCAUGGCCGCGUAGCUCCCAGGAUCAAAGUCAGGUCGUGUUAGCCGGUUCCUUUACUCGCUGAGCCAACUAGCGGCCCAAGAGCUGGACGUUAAAUGUUUAAAAUUUCCCUUGGACGUGGGCAUACGUGUUAUAUUUAUCACUCCCCUCCACUUUUUAAGUAAUAACUAUUUGUCGGAAAAGGGCAAGAAAAUCAAGAAUGGUAGGUGUUACAAGCAAGCUAGGCUAGAAGUUAUUAAGUGAGAACGUUUGUGCUCCAAACCACUGGAACCGAAAUAAGGAUGAAGAGCCAGCAAAAACCGUAUUUUCUCUCCCUGCUCCAAUUGCCUGCUCUUUAGCCACUUGUAAGAUUCUUUAACCGCCCCUCCCCCCCAAAAAAAGAUUCUUUAACCCAAACUCUUUGCAUACAUGAUUAUGUUUGGGGAUUUCAAAAUCUUGUUGGUUUCGAAGAGAGGGGGGAAUCCACCUGACAUUACCUGUAAU
rnacentral:lncRNA from 1 species